GAGGUAUUUAACAAUAUAAGCCUGGUUGCACUAAGUACUAACAUGUUGGUCAAAAGUAUAGUUUCAACUACAAUAUAAACUUAUAUUCGUUUCUUUUUUUUAUAAUAACAAAAUUAAAUAAAUGAAACACAUCAUCUUAUUUUGCUGAACAUUGUAAAUAGGUAUAGGAAGAUGUGGUAUGAGUGCCAAGUGAGACAACAC
rnacentral:lncRNA from 1 species